rnacentral:rRNA from 1 species
GACGAACGCUGGCGGCGUGCUUAACACAUGCAAGUCGAACGGAAAGGCCCCGCCUUUGUGGGGUGCUCGAGUGGCGAACGGGUGAGUAACACGUGAGUAACCUGCCCUUGACUUUGGGAUAACUUCUGGAAACUGGGGCUAAUACUGGAUACGAGAUCCUGCUGCAUGGUGGGGGUUGGAAAGUUUCGGCGGUUGGGGAUGGACUCGCGGCUUAUCAGCUUGUUGGUGGGGUAGUGGCUUACCAAGGCUUUGACGGGUAGCCGGCCUGAGAGGGCGACCGGCCACACUGGGACUGAGAUACGGCCCAGACUCCUACGGGAGGCAGCAGUGGGGAAUAUUGCACAAUGGGCGGAAGCCUGAUGCAGCAACGCCGCGUGAGGGAUGACGGCCUUCGGGUUGUAAACCGCUUUCGGCUGUGACGAAGCGUGAGUGACGGUAAUGGGUAAAGAAGCACCGGCUAACUACGUG